UACGUAGGGGGCAAGCGUUGUCCGGAAUCAUUGGGCGUAAAGCGCGUGUAGGCGGCCAGAAAAGUCCGCUGUGAAAACUCGAGGCUUAACCUCGAGAUGUCAUCGGAAACCAUUUGGCUAGAGUCCGGAAGAGGAGAGUGGAAUUCCUGGUGUAGCGGUGAAAUGCGCAGAUAUCAGGAAGAACACCAAUGGCGAAAGCAGCUCUCUGGGACGGUACUGACGCUGAGACGCGAAAGCGUGGGGAGCGAACAGG
rnacentral:rRNA from 1 species